rnacentral:tRNA from 1 species
GGCCUGGUGGUCUAGUAGUAUGAUUCCUUCUUAGGGAGAUGCCACCGCAUGGAGGAGGUCCCGGGUUCAAUUCCCGGCCAGGCCC